rnacentral:lncRNA from 1 species
CCCCGCCCUCUGCAUGAGGAUUAUAAAUUAUAUGCCGCUACUUUGUGAUGGUAUCUUGAGUAACUUAGUUGGGGCAUUAAAGGCUAUACCUUUAAAAAGGUUUCAAAACACGAACACAAAUUUUUGAGAGUCCUCCCUUUAAGGACAGGAGCCUCUUGCCCUCCCCUGGCGUGUGGAACGGGACCGGAUCAUUCAGUCAGGUUUAGAGGGCAGAAGUGAUGGCCGUGCUCUGGGAAGGUGGAGCUUACUCAGCCCUGCAGCUUCCUUGUCUUCAGAGUGUGUUAGCCGACAGGAAGAGGCUUCGUGGUGAGCAGCAGAGGCCUGCAGACAAUAACCACAGGAGUGAGCCAUCUUGGAAGCAGAUCCCCAGCCUCCACCAACACCUCAGUUGCUUGACAACAUCCUGACCACAGACAGCCACAGAAGAGAGCCGGAACCACACACGUUCAGCAGAAGCUGCUGCGCUUGAAUCCUUGAAUCCUGACCCACUCAAGGUGCCUCAGCCACCUCCAUAUUGGAAGCCAAAUGUUUUUUUACUAAGUUUCUAUUGUUCUAUUUUACCAAUGAAAGACUCAGGAGCCAGUUGCUGGGAUGAAAACCUGCUAGCUCAAAGAAGCAGAGAAAGCAGCGGAAUGACCUUCCUCCUCAGUCAAUGUCUCAGAAAAAAAGAAUUUCUCCUAUAUCCUCUGAAACAAGAUUCCUCCAACCAGAUGUCCUUCCCUUUUAUUUCCUAUGCUCCCAAUUUCCCCUCACUCUCUAUGGUUACUUCCAGUUAACUGAUUGCUUGCUCAACCUCUUGAACCAUGGUUGAUUUUAGUGAAAUAACACAACCUUGGGGUUCACAGUGUGACCAAAUAUCCUGCAACACUGUCUCAACCCUCCCUCCUUCCUCCCACCCCCCCCAAAAAAAACCUGUACUUUCGAUGAAUUGAUUUCCUUUGUCUGUCUGUCCUUCUGGAUAAUUCUACAUUUCCCCCAAAGUAUGGCAUGUUAGUCAAACUUCUUUAUUGCCAUGGCAAACGCCUGACACAAGCAAUUUAAGAAAGAAAUGAUUUCUUUUUCUCAUGGUCUCAGGGGUUCUUU